UUAUCCUUUUGGAGCUGAGGAUAAGGUAAGGGAUACCUUCUAUCUUUUUCUCUCUAGGUCUUCCAUUUGGAAAGGAAAAACUAGUGGAUUUGAGUUCGUUUUUCUCCCUCUCUUGCUACAAGCUGGUUUGGAAACCUGGGGGAUGGCUUUUGAAGCUUGGGAAUUGAUGUUUGACUAUAUUCUUCCACCUUAACUCAGCAGGAACUGAGUUAAAAUUCUGUGAGCUUGUGAAAGCGGAAGUAAAGGCAUUUUGGGCCAUGAUUCUUCGAUCUUUACUCAGUUAAAACUGAGUCGGAGCUGAACAAGGUGGUAAAAGUGCUUUGAAUGGAAUAUAGUGACCUUUAGAACUGGUUUUGCUGUGAGUUAUCAAUUCGAAACCAGGGGAAAAAGGCUCGAUUGAAGCUAUUGGGAGGAAAUCAGAUUCAGUUGAGCUGAAUUGGUGACUAGUAUGAGCUAAUUUGGAAUACUUUAACUUGCUUGGAAGUGAAGAUUUAGUUCUGGUCUAAACCUAGCUGAGUUUGGAGAGCUUUCUAAGAUUGGAUUUGGAGUUCCAACCUGAGAUGAAGUCUGGAAUUAAGCCUUAACUCUAUAUUAGGGUACUUGGAGGCUUCGGAUACUUUCGCUCGCUAAAUCAACGAGAGUUGUCAACAUAUUGCUUGCAUGCCAUUGUGCUAUUUCGCACACGCUUGUGGGGGUCGCGCCCCCCAAACCAGCGCUCCGGAGUGGCUUAGCGACAGAUUGCUCGCCUAUGUACGAUUUAAGCGCUGAAGUGGAUUGCCGUGGGUAGUGUUGACUUCCACGGGGCCAUUAGGCACGGCGCGACUAUGAUUUUACCUUGUAGCCUUCCACAGCGGGAAAGGCUAGGGUGCCUGGCGAGGAGUCGACGGCUAGUUAGAGCCUUUUCGAUGAUAAUAGAUGAACCUCUACCAGUUUAUUUUGAUAUAGAUCAGUGUCGUGUACUGAGAUUUUGUAGAAUGUACCUUGUUGGUCUUGUGUAUUUGUAUAAGUUUAGAAACUAUUAGUUAUACUCUGAUUACCUGGUUAGAAUUGAAUGCCUUUUACUAUGUUGAUUUGUA